rnacentral:lncRNA from 1 species
CCUUCUUGGCUUACAGCACAGCUUACCUCUGUUGAGAUUACCACUGGGACAAAAGGCUGGAAAUGUUGCUCCAGGAUAAGGGUGGAUAAGGCAAAUAUGAACAUGCACAAACACACCCCCCCCCCAGUGGGGCAGGCAUAUAUAUAAGUGUGGUUGCCACCUUAGGACACAACCCAGGUUGAGUUUCCUGAGCAAAAGCCAAGCUCUGCUGCUCACAGCUCAUCCAGCCACCAUGAGGACCACGGGGUUGUUGCUGCUGAUCUCUCUGGCCCUUUUCUGCAUCUCAGUUCCAUCUACUGAUGCGCAGCAGCCUGCAUCCCUGUACUGCAGGAACCAGAGGACCUUCAGGAACAUGUGUACCAUGGAGUACAUGCCCCACUGUGGGUCUGAUGGUGUCACGUACUCCAACAAAUGCAUGUUCUGCAAUGCAUACCUGAGAAGCCGUGGAGGUCUUGGCUUGAGGUCUAUUAAUGCAUGUUAAGUUAUCAACAGGAUUCACCUGAGAAAGAGCAUCCCUCCCUGGCAAUGUUCCCCAUGGCAGAUGACUUCCUAAACCCUUGACCUGACCCUUGAAAACCUCUUAUCAAUCCUGAAACCUCUGCUAAUAAAAAAAAACCCACCCAGCAUUUAUGUCUUGCUUUAGUCUCAUUCUGGUUUUACCU